rnacentral:rRNA from 1 species
GCAUAUCAUAAGCGGAGGAAAAGAAACCAACAGGGAUUGCCUCAGUAACGGCGAGUGAAGCGGCAACAGCUCAAAUUUGAAAUCUGGCCCUUUCAGGGUCCGAGUUGUAAUUUGUAGAGGAUGUUUCGGGCGUGGCUCCGGUCUAAGUUCCUUGGAACAGGACGUCAUAGAGGGUGAGAAUCCCGUAUGUGACUGGUAGCCUAUGCCCAUGUGAAACUCCUUCGACGAGUCGAGUUGUUUGGGAAUGCAGCUCAAAAUGGGUGGUAAAUUUCAUCUAAAGCUAAAUAUUGGCCAGAGACCGAUAGCGCACAAGUAGAGUGAUCGAAAGAUGAAAAGCACUUUGGAAAGAGAGUUAAACAGUACGUGAAAUUGUUGAAAGGGAAGCGCUUGCAACCAGACUUGCACGUGGCCGAUCAACCGGUGUUCUCACCGGUGCACUCGGUUGCGUUCAGGCCAGCAUCGGUUUCGACGGUUGGAUAAAGGCCCCGGGAAUGUAGCUUCUUUCGGGGAGUGUUAUAGCCCGGGGUGCAAUGCAGCCUGUUGGGACCGAGGACCGCGCUUCGGCUAGGAUGCUGGCGUAAUGGUUGUAAGCGACCCGUCUUGAAACACGGACCAAGGAGUCUAACAUCUAUGCGAGUGUUUGGGUGUCAAACCCAUACGCGUAAUGAAAGUGAACGGAGGUGAGAACCCUUAAGGGUGCAUCAUCGACCGAUCCUGAUGUCUUCGGAUGGAUUUGAGUAAGAGCAUAGCUGUUGGGACCCGAAAGAUGGUGAACUAUGCCUGAAUAGGGUGAAGCCAGAGGAAACUCUGGUGGAGGCUCGCAGCGGUUUCUGACGUGCAAAUCGAUCGUCAAAUUUGGGUAUAGGGGCGAAAGACUAAUC